CUUACCUGGUCAUGGGUUGAGGGGGAGGCCUCCAUAGCUCUGGAUUGCUGCCGGGUGGUAACAGGUAGUGCUCCUUCUGGACUGCAGGCUGCCAAUUGGGACGUCAGGCAUCCUAAAUCAUUCCCCAGCAAUACUUCCGCGGGCAAAUCUGGCAUGAUGCCCACUUCUACGGCCUUGGCCCCUGUACCCCAAUCAAUGUGUACCCGGGCUGGUGGUAGUUUAUGAAUUGCCCCUCCGGCCACCCUUACAGCAAUGGUGCAUCCUGUGUGCUGGGUCGGGGGGACCCGGUGUGGUUGGACCAAGGUAAUAGUGGCCCCGCUGUCUCUCAGUCCCCGAGCCUCUUAUCCAUUUAGCUUUACCAACUGG